rnacentral:rRNA from 1 species
AUGAACGCUGACAGAAUGCUUAACACGUGCAAGUCAACUUGAAUUUGGGUUUUUAACUUAGGUUUGGGUGGCGGACGGGUGAGUAACGCGUAAAGAACUUGCCUCACAGCUAGGGACAACAUUUGGAAACGAAUGCUAAUACCUAAUAUUAUGAUAAUAGGGCAUCCUAUAAUUAUGAAAGCUAUAAGCGCUGUGAGAGAGCUUUGCGUCCCAUUAGCUAGUUGGAGAGGUAACGGCUCACCAAGGCGAUGAUGGGUAGCCGGCCUGAGAGGGUGAUCGGCCACAAGGGGACUGAGACACGGCCCUUACUCCUACGGGAGGCAGCAGUGGGGAAUAUUGGACAAUGGACCGAGAGUCUGAUCCAGCAAUUCUGUGUGCACGAUGAAGUUUUUCGGAAUGUAAAGUGCUUUCAGUUGGGAAGAAACAAAUGACGGUACCAACAGAAGAAGUGACGGCUAAAUACGUG